ensembl:lncRNA
CUUUUUGUCCCCACGUUUACUUCCCUUCUUUUCGUGGACUUAUUCAGCGCGUUUAGUGUCACAAUGUCAUUCACAAUAUUGCUCAGAAACUCUUCAUUAUCAUUAUUCAUACCACUUUAGUUAUUGGUAGUUGCAGAGCAACAUGUGAUCACAACGCUGGCUCAUUCCCUCUUAACGCUCAUUUGCGGUCACGUUUCUGUCGGACCAAUUUAUGUAUGAUCAAUAUUUACUCCUUCAGCUUCGUUCUGUCCUCCACCAACUCCAGAGUUGAAGAUCGGAUCUAUACCAGAAGAGAAAGCCUCAGGCCGAAGUAUCAACGAGGUACUCGAAUUAAAACAACGUUCCAAUAAAAGCAAUUAGCUUCUUCCUUUGGUACGUGAUCUCCUCCCAGACAGCAUUUCUAAUUACGCGUAAACAUCAUGUCAGCGUGUCCUUAAUGGGUGGCGUGUAGUAAUCUGUAGUGGUGCAGAAUUACGCGGCUGAGCUCGAGGUUAAAAGAGGGCGUGUGAAAAUCUGAUUUAACCGGGAGGAAUCGAUGACAGACUGUGACACCAUUUAAGGUUUGAUCCUCGGUGCGUUCUGUUUGUUCAUUCCGGUUUCUUCCAGACACUCUGGCUUCCCCCCACAGCUCACACACACACACACACACACACACACACACACACACACACACACAAUCAGGUGGAUUAGAGAUGGUAAAUUUCCCACAGGAACGUGAGCGGGAGAGAGUGUGUGUUUAUCUGUCAAUCUGUGUUAGCUCUGUGGUGGACUGGCAACGUGUUCCGGGGCUUUCCCCGCCUGCUGCGGCGUGUGUGCAGGUUUAGGACCCGUCCCCCGUCCCCCGUGUCCCCGUCCCUGCUGUCCCCGUCCCCGUUGGUACCGGCCUGUCAGGAGACGGCACUCCUCUUAUUUUCUGAGGUGCACAAAUUUAUGUCAAAGUAGUUUAGUAAAAUGUUCAAAUUGCCUUCGAGUCUCUCACUGCAAGCAAUAAGUGUGUGUUUGUGUGUGUGUGUGUGUGUGUGUGUGUGUGUGUGUGUGUGUGUUUGUGUGUAGGUAAGUAGGGCAGUGCUACAUUAGUAAUGGCCUGUCACAUUGUGCGUUUUUUUGUGGCAGUGCUAGCAGUAGGACCUGACUUAAACAGUGUCCCACUUCCACCUUGUGUAUUAAUACAAUCUCCACUCUUUAUUUAACUUCACACUGUAGUGUUUCGGCCGUUAAAAGAAUUCACACACUCGUCUAUUUUUUAACAUCCAUACAGAACCUGCGCUAACAAACGUCCAUCGGACAAUGAUGUUGAAACAUUGCUGCCAAUUUACAUUUUGCGAACAUGACAAAGAGAGAAAGCAAAAUGUUUUCCCACACGAUUAAUAUGUAUUUAAUAUACAUGGAGCCCUUUCACCUCCAUCCAGAAUUUCACUUUCUUUCCAGCUGUGAUCCGAUUCUUCACCGACAGGAUACUUAACAAUGAGGCGGACGUUUAGCAUUUACUCCGGCAUCUUUGUGACUGUGUGUGUUGUCAUGUUCCUGGUGUGAACGCACCACAAACUGAAUCCCGGGUAGACGGGAUAUGAAGCGUGGAAUUGGGGCACAGCUUUGUUCUCAGCAUGGGACCGGCUGGGCUAGACCUGAAAAAUCCAAAGACAAAGUCCUGCUUUCCUUUUCCCAUCGUAGCACCUCAUGUAUUUAUGAAUGAGAACACUCUCUGCACCAUACUGCACAACAUGAUUUUAAAUGUGUAAUAGUGCGUCAGUUGGAUUAAUAUGUAAUCAUUUUGGGUAAAGCAACGCGUUGGCUUGUCUCUUUCACUUCUUGUUAACACCAACUUUAGGUUUUAAAUGCAUAAAAUAACCACAUCCGUUUGUUUAUUGCAUCAAGGCUUUUUUACUUUGUCAGGAAACUCUAUUUCAACAAAAUAAAGCAAAACUUUUCCCACAAAAUUAACACUUUGUGUUGGUCGGUUUCAACGCUGUUAUAAUAAUUACAGACAAAACUAAAAUAAUAACUGCAUUGACCGCCCGCUCCUCUCCUAAUCAUGUGACCUUUAUGGGAUCCUCGUUUUGCUUUGUUAUUCACUACACCUGCACAAAAAAACAAAAAGAAACAAAGAGCACCUUGUGAGGAAGGUUAAUCACAAACUUUCUUCUCCCUAUUUUGGUCAAAGUUUAAGCUUCGUGCAGCACGAUCCUGAUCCAAUUACUCAGAGACUUAAUCACUAAUCCUGUUAAACGACCCUUGUGGGGAUCGCUUGUUGGACUCGCAAGGCCGGCGGUACUGUAACCCCCUCAGCCGGGAGCUGGCGUGGACUCAAGCGUCACACCCACGGACCAGACCAGUUCAUACAGACAAAAAACUGGGCUGGACCUGUGUGGACAGACGAUGACGCACCCGGCUUUCAUGUCCACUGAUGGCAUCUAGCAGCGCGGCUGACCAGCAUGACGCAUGAGACGGCGCGAUGCGAAGAGCCGGUCACCCACAUUGCAGAUUUCACAGAGUGGGCUUUGAAAAAUGCAAAGCAAAAUGUUACUGAAACAAAACAUUCCAAAAACAAACCGUGGAGGGCAGACUGAGGGAAGGAAGGAGGAGCUACACAAGAAUGAUGUUCAAAGCGAUGUGCGCAAGAGGGGGGUGGGUGGGGGUGGGAGCAUUCAGGUGCCACUGAAGCCUCAAACACCCCUUAAAGGCCUCGGUCCUGCUGAGCAGAAUAAAGGGCCGGAUGAACGCUGACAUUUAGUCCUCUCAAGUGAGCAGAAAGGAGGCUGAGGCCUACUGCUGAAAAGAUAAUCCAAAGGAGGGUAAUCGUAGGAGGGCUGGCCUGUGCACUCCCGCGCUCCUUGUUCUCGGGACUAAUGGCGACGGAGGUGCGAGAUCGGGAGGCGGCCCGUUCUCGCUGUGCACCACCGCCCCCCCCCCACCAUUCACCCACCCACCAC